rnacentral:rRNA from 1 species
UACGUAGGGGGCUAGCGUUGUCCGGAAUCAUUGGGUCGUAAAGAGCGCGUUAGGCGGCCCGGUAAGUCCGACUGUGAAAAGUCAAAGGCUCAAACCCUUUGAAUCGUCAGUCGGAGUAACUGGCCGGGCUAGAGUCCGGAAGAGGCGAGUGGAACUCCUGGUGUAGCGGUGGAAUGACGCAGAUAUCAGGAAGAACACCCAACGGCGAAGGCAGCUCGCUGGGACGGUACUGACGCUGAGGCGCGAAAGCGUGGGGAGCGAACAGGG